rnacentral:rRNA from 1 species
CUAGUAAUCGCGGAUCAGCAACGCCGCGGUGAAUGCGUUCCCGGGCCUUGUACACACCGCCCGUCAAGUCAUGAAAGUGGGCAGCACCCGAAGACGGUGGCCUAACCCUUGUGGGGGAGCCGUCUAAGGUGAGGCUCGUGAUUGGGACUAAGUCGUAACAAGGUACC